rnacentral:rRNA from 1 species
GAUGAACGCUGGCGGCGUGCCUAAUACAUGCAAGUCGAGCGAACAGACGAGGAGCUUGCUCCUUUGACGUUAGCGGCGGACGGGUGAGUAACACGUAGGUAACCUACCUAUAAGACUGGGAUAACUUCGGGAAACCGGAGCUAAUACCGGAUAAUAUUUCGAACCGCAUGGUUCGAUAGUGAAAGAUGGCUUUGCUAUCACUUAUAGAUGGACCUGCGCCGUAUUAGCUAGUUGGUAAGGUAACGGCUUACCAAGGCAACGAUACGUAGCCGACCUGAGAGGGUGAUCGGCCACACUGGAACUGAGACACGGUCCAGACUCCUACGGGAGGCAGCAGUAGGGAAUCUUCCGCAAUGGGCGAAAGCCUGACGGAGCAACGCCGCGUGAGUGAUGAAGGUCUUCUGAUCGUAAAACUCUGUUAUUAGGGAAGAACAAACGUGUAAGUAACUGUGCACGGCUUGACGGUACCUAAUCAGAAAGCCACGGCUAACUACGUG